rnacentral:rRNA from 1 species
CUACGGGUCGCAGCAGUGAGGAAUAUUGCACAAUGGGGGGAACCCUGAUGCAGCAACGCCGCGUGGAGGAUGACGCAUUUCGGUGUGUAAACUCCUUUUAUAUGUCAAGAAAAUGACGGUAGCAUAUGAAUAAGCACCGGCUAACUCCGUGCCAGCAGCCGCGGUAAUACGGAGGGUGCAAGCGUUACUCGGAAUCACUGGGCGUAAAGGACGCGUAGGCGGGUUGGCAAGUCAGGUGUGAAAUCCUACAGCUUAACUGUAGAACUGCACUUGAAACUUCUAAUCUAGAGUAUGGGAGGGGGAGAUGGAAUUAGUGGUGUAGGGGUAAAAUCCGUAGAUAUCACUAGGAAUACCUAAAGCGAAGGCGAUCUCCUGGAACAUUACUGACGCUAAGACGUGAAAGCGUGGGGAGCAAACAGGAUUAGAUACCCGCGUAGUC